UGAUUGAAAGGCGAAAAGAAACCCCCCGGGCCCGGGGGGAGCCCAAUAACUUUUUUCCAUUUAACCAA
rnacentral:tRNA from 1 species